CACGGACUCUGCGUGAAAGUGCCCUGUUGAUUGGGGAACGGAGCUUCGCAAGUGCUUUUGAGCAUGCGCAUGAGACACCCCUCGCCCCUCCACUAAACACCCGGGUGUUAAGAGGUCGGCACUUGGAAGGGAAGCGGUUCUCAGCUGUUUACGAGUUAGCGUCGCGCAGAGGUUUCUUGAAGUCUCUGCGGAGCCCCUGGGUAAGACCCUAUAGUGAAGGCUGCAGAAUCUUCCUUCCGGCCUCAGCAGCUCUGGUUGAGUCCAUGGGUGCCCACCUGGCCUCGGGCUCCCGGGAAGAGCAGAGUUGUCAGCAAGAGAGCCUGGGGGCUGAGGCCCAGCAGGAAGAUGCCAGCCAACUGGAGCUCUCCCCAGUGGUCCCCAGCCCUGGCUGCAGAGGGACAUGGCAGCAUGUGUGAGAUUUUCAGAGAUUCCUGGUCAAGAUGUCGGUGCAGGGGAAGAUCCUGAACUGACCUCAUCCCACGGACACACCAAGCCUACAGCUAUGUAUGGAACAAUGUCCUCAGGAAAAAAAAACAACUAAAAACUGGUGGAGCGACCCCUUCUCAUCAGGCAAUGAGAGGGAAACCACCUGGAAGCAGGUAGUAAAGGCUGAGACGCCAUCUCGCCAUAAACUGCACCCUCAGCAAGGCCACCCAUAACUGCGAGGGAACUCUAAACCUGGAGCUUCUCCCUGAGGAGUGAAGGGUUUGUACCUCACAUGGGACACGCCAACUUUUAAGACUGGUACUAGAGAGACAAGCCCUCAAUACACCUGGCUUUGAAGACCAGCAGGGCUCACUCCAGGGGCUCACUCGCUCUCAAAAGGUUUUUGAUAGAUAUUCAUAUAAAUUGAUAGAGGGGACUCUGUUCAUAAUUAUGCUGUGACAACUUGGACAUAUAGUCAGCCUAAUAAUAGAGAAACAAUGUCAUUUAUAGCAACCCCAUCUUUUUUUUUACUUUUUAAAAAAAAUUUAAAGUU